rnacentral:lncRNA from 1 species
ACACAUGACUUCUGAAUAACCAAGUUGUUAGUAAGAGAAAAGGACUAUUUAAUCUUAAAUCAGGAAUGAUAAAGAGAAGGGUAAAGAAUAGGCUAAUAGAUGCUAUGAACAACUAUUUGAGUGUCUGCUCAUUUCGCAGAACAAAAUAAAACUCACUAAGCUGAGAAGGAGUCAUAGACAAUAAGUAAACAAGUCACAGAGGAAAUGGAUAAUUAUUAAAUACAACAAAAUUGUUUAAUGUGUAUGUCUAAGAGUAUGUUUUUCCUAUUUUUAUAAAACUGCCAGUAAGAAAAGGAAGAAAAAUCCACGUUAAUUCAUCAUAUAUUCUGAUACACUUCAGCUGUGGAUUAAAGGAACCAUGCCAGUUGCUGCAACUCCAGACAGAGAGCAAAGGAAUCAUAUACGAGGCCCCUGGGUUUAUAGAAGUCUAUCAAUCACCCUGUCGGUCUUCCGGAUCAUUAUUCAAGUUGCUAUACCCAAUUUUGCUGGAUAUAUCAGAUCAACUCCAGCUCCAUAGAUGGACAGUGUGUUUUCUUCCUAUUUUUAAAAACAGAAAGGUGGAAAAUUGGUGAAUAUUAUGAGGACACACUGGGAAGUACAUUGUUACUAUGGCAAUAAAAAACAGAACAAAUGCC